rnacentral:rRNA from 1 species
AUUGAACGCUGGCGGCAGGCCUAACACAUGCAAGUCGAGCGGAGCGGCGGACGGGUGAGUAAUGCUUAGGAAUCUGCAUGGUAGUGGGGGAUAACGUCCGGACACGGGCGCUAAUACCGCCUCAUAUCAGAUGCGCCUAGGUCGGAUUAUCUAGUGGGUGGGGUAAAGGCCUACCAAGGAGACGAUCAGGAACUGGUCUGAGAGGUUGAUCAGUCACACUGUACCUGAGACGCGGGCCAGACUCCUACGGGAGGCAGCAGUGGGGAAUAUUGGACAAGGGGCGAAAUCCUGAUCCAGACAUGCCGCGUGUGUGAAGAAGUGCUUCGGAUUGUAAAGCACUUUAAGUUGGGAGGCGUUACCAACAGAAUAAGCACCGGCUAACUUCGUGCCAGCAGCCGCGGUAAUUC